rnacentral:sRNA from 1 species
AGUAUAUAGUAUAAAUGAUAAUGUACACCGAAAAGUGUAGAAUGGUAUUUAUAAUUUUUAUGACACAAUAGCUAAUGUUGUGCAUAAGUCAAAUUUUGAACUUUGAAACUGAAGAGUAAAUUAAAAAAA